rnacentral:rRNA from 1 species
GACGAACGCUGGCGGCGUGCUUAACACAUGCAAGUCGAACGGAAAGGCCCUGCUUUUGUGGGGUGCUCGAGUGGCGAACGGGUGAGUAACACGUGAGUAACCUGCCCUUGACUUUGGGAUAACUUCAGGAAACUGGGGCUAAUACCGGAUAGGAGCUCCUGCUGCAUGGUGGGGGUUGGAAAGUUUCGGCGGUUGGGGAUGGACUCGCGGCUUAUCAGCUUGUUGGUGGGGUAGUGGCUUACCAAGGCUUUGACGGGUAGCCGGCCUGAGAGGGUGACCGGCCACAUUGGGACUGAGAUACGGCCCAGACUCCUACGGGAGGCAGCAGUGGGGAAUAUUGCACAAUGGGCGGAAGCCUGAUGCAGCAACGCCGCGUGCGGGAUGACGGCCUUCGGGUUGUAAACCGCUUUCGCCUGUGACGAAGCGUGAGUGACGGUAAUGGGUAAAGAAGCACCGGCUAACUACGUGCCAGCAGCCGCGGUGAUACGUAGGGUGCGAGCGUUGUCCGGAUUUAUUGGGCGUAAAGGGCUCGUAGGUGGUUGAUCGCGUCGGAAGUGUAAUCUUGGGGCUUAACCCUGAGCGUGCUUUCGAUACGGGUUGACUUGAGGAAGGUAGGGGAGAAUGGAAUUCCUGGUGGAGCGGUGGAAUGCGCAGAUAUCAGGAGGAACACCAGUGGCGAAGGCGGUUCUCUGGGCCUUUCCUGACGCUGAGGAGCGAAAGCGUGGGGAGCGAACAGGCUUAGAUACCCUGGUAGUCCACGCUGUAAACGGUGGGUACUAGGUGUGGGGUCCAUUCCACGGGUUCCGUGCCGUAGCUAACGCUUUAAGUACCCCGCCUGGGGAGUACGGCCGCGAGGCUAAAACUCAAAGGAAUUGACGGGGCCCCGCACAAGCGGCGGAGCAUGCGGAUUAAUUCGAUGCAACGCGUAGAACCUUACCUGGGUUUGACAUGGAUCGGGAGUGCUCAGAGAUGGGUGUGCCUCUUUUGGGGUCGGUUCACAGGUGGUGCAUGCCUGUCGUCAGCUCGUGUCGUGAGAUGUUGGGUUAAGUCCCGCAACGAGCGCAACCCUUGUUCACUGUUGCCAGCACGUUAUGGUGGGGACUCAGUGGAGACCGCCGGGGUCAACUCGGAGGAAGGUGGGGAUGACGUCAAGUCCUCAUGCCCCUUAUGUCCAGGGCUUCACGCAUGCUACAAUGGCUGGUACAGAGAGUGGCGAGCCUGUGAGGGUGAGCGAGUCUCGGAAAGCCGGUCUCAGUUCGGAUUGGGGUCUGCAACUCGACCUCAUGAAGUCGGAGUCGCUAGUAAUCGCAGAUCAGCAACGCUGCGGUGAAUACGUUCCCGGGGGCU